CUUUGGUACCCAUACCGGCAGCUGUGGCCACAUCAUGCACUCUCACUGCUGGCAGAGGUCUUUGAAUAUCAAUGAUGCAAACAGGGAGGAGAAAUAUAACAGCGUGUAUGAAGCAGUGCUGCAUGGAGCAGAUGACGGAAUGUCUGGACUGGAUUAUGGCUGAAUGUAAGAAUUUGUAUUCAAAAUUUCUGCAGAGUAUGGCGAUCUUCAUACAGAAGUCAGAUGGUUGAGUAGGAGUAAGGUACUUCACCGUUUUAUUUCCUUGGUGAGUGAAAUUACGGCUUUAAUGGAACUGGGGGGGACGACACUAACCUGUUGUCUGAUGGCUGCUUGAUCUUGCAUUCUUGGCUGAUGUGACAGAGAAACUGAAUCAGCUCAAUCUUCAGUUACAAGGUAAAGACAAAACCAUAUGUGAUAUGAUCAGUGCUGUGAAGGUAUUUAAAGCAAAACUGUCAUUUUACCUUCAGCAAUUGAAAAACAAAAGAUUGCAACACUUCCCCUCAUUGGUAAAGAUAGAAAGAAAGCCAUGCAAAUGUAAGCAAAGUUUUGGAUGUACUCGAGUAUUGUGACCUCCUGUCCAGGCUUGGGCAGGAAUCUGAGGAAAGGUUCAGUGAUUUUGAAAAUCUUGAGAUGUGUGUGGCAUUUGUUGCCAAGUCUUUCAUGGAGAUAGACAUGGAUCACAUUUCAAAGCAGAUGGCUGAACAAAAGUUUAACUAUGUGCUCUUCUCAUCAGCAGACCAUAGGCAACAGCUAAAGGGUGUUUCUGUCGUGGUUUCUGUAGUGUAGUGGUUAUCACGUUUGCUUCACACGCAAAAGGUCCCUGGUUCGAGACUGGGCAGAAACAAGCUAGCAAUUUUGAACUUUGCUUUAAUAACUGACCGGUUGUCAUCACCGUAGGAUCAGGUCCUCUAGGAACAGCCGGAAAGCGAGACCUUGGACAGAGCAGAUUUCCUUCUUUUGUGCCUUUGUAGCAAAGCAGUUAACAUUUGCUUACAAAAUGAAAGGGAGUCUCUGGUUUUCUACAGAAAGUGGAAGCCUGGCUCUUUUGUUGCUCAGUAAGACUCUGUGCGUGACUGGAAAAUUUUCCAUAAAGUACUGGUCACCAAG
ensembl:lncRNA